AAAAGAAAACAGAUGUUGCGUUCUCUCUCUCGUUCUUUCAAUUCAGAGGCAAUGUCAACGAAGAUGAUGCUCGAGACUGCUUCCAUGAAGUUCAAGAUUGGCAAGGCAUGAUAUGCAAAGAAGAUGGCAAACGUCUGGGAGACGCUCGCAGAAGAAACCAACACAUGUGAAAGAUGGCAGCUGAAGUAUUUGGCUGUAAAUUUUUUUUCUUCUUCAGACAUUCCUUUCUACUUUUUCCCUGUAUUUGGCUGGAAUUUUCAAAUAGCUUAUAAAGUUGAGUUGACUUCAUAUCCUUCUUUGGGCUAAUAUAGUUGUCCAUAUCCUCCAUUGUGGAUGUAUUCAUUAUUCAAUAGAGAAAAGUAUUUGCGAUUUA